UUGAUGGUAGUGUAUUGGACUACCAUGGCUUUCACGGGUAACGGAGAAUUAGGGUUCGAUUCCGGAGAAGGAGCCUGAGAAACGGCUACUACAUCUAAGGAAGGCAGCAGGCGCGUAAAUUACCCAAUCCUGACUCAGGGAGGUAGUGACAAGAUAUAACGACGCGAUUAUAUAUCGUGAUUGUAGUGAGGGUAUUCCAAACCGAACUUCGAGUACGAUUGGAGGGCAAGUCUGGUGCCAGCAGCCGCGGUAAUUCCAGCUCCAAUAGCGUAUAUUAAAGUUGUUGCAGUUAAAAAGCUCGUAGUUGGAUUUCAAGGUCGAGGUGAGGAAACUCGCCGAAACCUAUCAGUCCGAAAGGACUGUUACUGUGAGAAAAUUAGAGUGUUUCAAGCAGGCUAUUGCAGGAAUACAUUAGCAUGGAAUAACGAGUGUGUCUAGAAUCUUGGUUAAUUCUAGAUUACGAUUAAUAGGGACAGUUGGGGGCAUUAGUAUUUAAUUGUCAGAGGUGAAAUUCUUGGAUUUGUUAAAGACUAACGUAUGCGAAAGCAUUUGCCAAGGAUGUUUUCAUUAAUCAAGAACGAAAGAUUGGGGAUCAAAGACGAUUAGAUACCGUC
rnacentral:rRNA from 1 species